UUGCAACUCAUUAAGCCAACCAAGACCUUUCCCCCACGGAGGCCUGCUGUGCUAUGGUGGCAAACAGCAGCCUCCUUGGUGGUGUGUGUGUAGCCUGUGGCCUAUAUGGGUUGCCUUAAGUCUCUGAUCUCAAAGCU